rnacentral:tRNA from 1 species
ACCUGGGUGGCUCAGUCAGUUAAGCGUCUGACUUCAGCUCAGGUCAUGAUCCCAUGGUUGGUGGGUUCAAGCCCCACAUCAGGCU